CGCUGUAUCAUUCCUUUAUUCAAUGUUAAAAGUAAUUGACUUCUCAUUGUCAUCCAGGGCUUCAGUUGUCGUGAUUUUUAUCUGGUUCAUUUAUCUCAGGAUAAGAGGAUAUUUUCUCACUGCACUUCUAAAGUGCUGCAAGAGUUACCAAUCUAUUGCCUAAUCCAUCUUUCACAAUUUGUUGGAAUCAUGAUUUCCAACCCUCUUGUUUCUACUGGUUCAAUUACAAAAUCUGCUAAAGAGAAAUCAGACCAAUCUGAGAGGUGUGGGAUAUCACUGGAUCAUGUCUACCUCACUGCAUCACCCAAUUAUCAUCAAGGAGAAACUCCUGUUCUACAGUCUAACAAGCUGAAAAAUGACUUCAGAAUGAUCCCAGUCCCAAGAAUUGAAACAUAGAAUUCUUAAGAGGCUUUACAGGGUAUCUUAAAGCCUGGAAAUAUUUCCUGCACGGGGUUUCUUACUCACCUGGUCAGUGCCAGCACAAGAUCCGAAGAUAUUUUGGGUGACACUGCCAUGAUAAUCAC